CUCGACCAUGAUCGACUCAGAAAUAUGAGUUAAAGGUUUCAGGCAUCAGUAAAAUGCACUUCCCUUGUAGAUUAGGCGAAGGCAUUACGGACAUCACUUGCCAGUUGAUUAUCAAAUUUUGCUAAUAGAAAUGCAACAAAUGACGGAAGCCAGGACUUUGGGCUUUGUAAUGAGGUCAGGUGGGGUGUUUUUCCAGAAAGGUUAAGGCUUGAAAGCAAAUUCGAUGCCAGGGGUAAAAUAAACUGAGAUUGCCCUAUUUUGAAAUCAUUUCCGAUUUUGAACGAAACCGGGGAAAAUUUGCCCCAGUUUGAUCG
rnacentral:lncRNA from 1 species